GCUUACUCUAUAGAUCAUUCUGAUAUUGUUAUUGGUGUUUGAUAAAAACAUAGGCAAAUCAGGAAUUACACAGAUUGCUCUGUAACUCUGUUUGUCUACUUGGGUGUGCACAGUGGGGUAAGAGAAGGAGAUUUUGCAGAGUGCACAUGCAAACCGGUGAAGGAGUGCCAGCACAUCUUUAAAAAUCAAUAAUGAUCCUUCCGCAGGUUCACCUACGGAAACCUUGUUACGACUUUUACUUCCUCUAAAUGACCAAGA
rnacentral:misc_RNA from 1 species